rnacentral:lncRNA from 1 species
GCUAUAUAGGUAUAAUGCGUAACAGUGAUGUAUGCUCCACACCGUUCGAUGUUGGACAUAGCACUGGUGAAUAAAACUUAGCAAGUUGUUGAUUUGAGGAGGAGGAGGAGGAGGAGGAAGAGGAGGAGAAGGAGGAGGAGGGUGAGAAGUUGGCACGGGGUUCUUGUUGCGUAUGUAUAUACUUUGGAUCGAGUACGGAGCAGCCGAAGUUUGCGAAUGAGAAUUAAGGUACUACAAGAGCUUGAGGUGUGGGUGGAUGGUGGACAUAACGCGUCGCGACGAACGACUUGACUCAAUCAUCGCUACCGUCUUCAUCAGUGAGCUCGAUAUUGUCUAUUAUAAAAUUCAUUGUUUACCUUUGAGUAUAACGUACGCUGGACAAGUUUACAGUGAUUAUGGGAUCAAUUAGCGGAGUGGUUACCCAAAAUAUUAAGAGAUCUACCGACCGACUACACAAGAUCAAACACUUCAUGACACUUUGUUUGUGAAACGGAACGAGACGUUACAGCGAUAAAACUUGUUUUACUACUCCAGUACCUGGCUGAAAGAGUUCACGGCCACCUUCAAAACGUGACAGAGGGUCGGAAAAAAGAAAUACCGGCAAGAAUGAUACUCAUUUGUAGAAUCACUGAUUCAUUAGAGACAACGGUGACAAUUAAUUUGGCAACGUGCUGCAAUAACUGAUCUAAAAUGAUCGUUGCAGGUCAUGUGAUUCGAGUGCCGUAUGAAUUUGACAUAGUGCAUAACGUAAUACCUACAACUGUACGAAUACGCAUACACGAGUGUAGCGGCGUGUGUUUAAGACGAUUUCUCUAUUAAACAGUUGACUGGUGAUUGUGUGUAAUAAUGGCUCUGGGGAAGAUAGUGAUCUGUCACGCAUUCAUCAUGACAUAUCGUUGUCGCACAUGCGUCACUUGCGCUCGCAAAUCUCCUAUAUGUACAUACCUAUAGAGCGCGAUUCAUAACACAAUGAGUCGUUACGUUACAUACGAAAAGAGAUAUGAAUUACAAUUUCAGGGAUUUGGCCUUUAGUUUCUACGCGUCAUAUACAUAAACUGAAAAUUGGCAGUUCGCUCCAUGUCGCGUUCUGCGUCUACUAUUGACGGAUUAAUACUGCACAAUUUGUUCAUUCGUGAGCAUUGUGGUAUACGCUUUGGUCGCUUUGGUGAAUACGGGAAGACCAUAUUUUGUCUGUUCACAGCAUAUAAAAUAACAUAAGCAGUGACUGCUUCUAACGAAAAUAAUUGGAUCUGGAUAGUAAGACUGUUCCCAGCUUUAUCGGUAGCGGUUCACGAGAUACUUGUUCGAAAAUCAAAUAUACGAAAUCCAGACGGUUGCAGCUCAGUCGGAAAGAUAGAAAUUUAGUCGCAGUCAGUCAUUUGGUUAUAUUUUUUUAUAAGGUGUAGUACACGUUGCGCGGAAUUCUCAAACUAAUUUGAUGAAAUUCGAAUUUCAGGUUAAAAAUUGUCAUCAAUCUUUCAAAAAUUGCCGAAUGUACCUACAGAAAAUUUUAUUCAGAACUGCAUGUACAGGUAUAUUUUAUCGACAAAUUUUGGUUUCUUGGAUAGGUUAAACAUUACUGAUAUAAAAAAUCGUCCGUACGCGAACUCACUAUACAUUCCUGUACGGUGUUCACGUGACGUAAGUCACCGAGAUGAGCAUUUGAGAAACCGUUGAAAAUCUAUUUGAAAUAUGUCGGUGCAUUGGCGGAACUUUGAUUUUCUUAUGAUCCGUCUAUGGACAAAUUAAUAA